rfam:Streptococcus thermophilus CNCM I-1630 Contig0317, whole genome shotgun sequence.
UCAAACAAUGAGAACAUUACUUAUUUAUGUCACGAAUGGGCGUGACGUUUCUACAAGGUGCCGUAACACCUAACAAUAAGUAAGCUAAUUUAGUCA